rnacentral:rRNA from 1 species
CUCAACAAAAAUGAGAGCGACGGGCGAUGUGUGCAUAAUCCAGAACCAAUAUCAUAAAAACAAUCUCCAAUAAAUUACAAUUAAAUCCAAUUUCAUAUCAGACAUAACAACCAAUAAUCCAAAACUUCAAAAAAACAAUGUAAUCCACCUCACACUUAAAAACAAGCUGCACCUUGACCUGAAAUCAACCAAAAUAAUGAAACCAGAAAAUUAAAAACACUAAAAAGAUCUUCAUUACAACGGCGGUAUACAAACAACAAAAAUAAGUAAGGUCCAACGUGGAUCAUCGAUAACGGGGCAGAUUCCUCUAAAAGGAGUGGAGUACCGCCAAAUUCUUUAGGUUUCAAGAACAUAACUAAUACUACCCAGGAAUAAAAUAGUUAACAUCAAAAAUAAUA